UUCCAACACACUGGAAGCACCAGGGAAGUAGCAUCAUGCGUAAAAUCUAUGUAUAAGGUAUUACAUGGUGCCUCACUGGACGCAGCCGAAUGCAGCAGUGAGGCGACGAUGCAUAUUGGAAACAGCAGCUGCAAUAAGGAUUAGGGUCCCCUGACAUGGAGGUGCAUUAUCCCAUCCAGGAUCCUGCCACGCUGGAAGUAACAUUGAUCCCUGUGGAGAAGAGCUUGUACACUCAGUGCUUCCACUUGUCAGUCCCGCGUCUUACCUGUGAUGUCAGCGUGCAUCUGCACAAAGAGGGGGUUCUUACUCAGCCCCCCGCACAGAAACAGACUGCCGAUAUGAUGCCCUGAGACCUUCAUUGUUUCCAAAAUGUGUCUUGUUCCCAACUACAAAAGCAAACAGAGAGAGGAAGAUGAGAGAGUGCCAGGGCCGCGGAUUGGGGUGGAUUGGUUUCAGGAUUUGAAAGUAUCUUUUUGUUUGUUUAUUUAUUUGGAAUAUAUACACGAAAACCGCGGAAAGUGGGAAACGCUCAGAGCCAAACACGUGUCGGGCUGCAACCAGCAACGUUCUGUGAUCUCAUCUGUGACAAUGGAAAUUCUCUGCUCUGUAAUUCACUGUUCUAGAUGGAGAAAUGCUCUGUUGCCAGGUUUCUCUGCUGGGCUUUUGUCCAUUAGUAUGGGGCUUAUUCCAUAAAGUAGAGCAAGUAUUCACGUUGCCCCUCAAAAAUAAACCAGCCACUAAUGACCUCACUGAGGUAUGAGGCACGGUAUUCUAAA